CAGAGUUUUGUCAUGGCUCAGAUUGAACGCUGGCGGCAGGCCUAACACAUGCAAGUCGAGCGGUAGCACAGAGAGCUUGCUCUCGGGUGACGAGCGGCGGACGGGUGAGUAAUGUCUGGGAAACUGCCUGAUGGAGGGGGAUAACUACUGGAAACGGUAGCUAAUACCGCAUAACGUCGCAAGACCAAAGUGGGGGACCUUCGGGCCUCAUGCCAUCAGAUGUGCCCAGAUGGGAUUAGUUAGUAGGUGGGGUAACGGCUCACCUAGGCGACGAUCCCUAGCUGGUCUGAGAGGAUGACCAGCCACACUGGAACUGAGACACGGUCCAGACUCCUACGGGAGGCAGCAGUGGGGAAUAUUGCACAAUGGGCGCAAGCCUGAUGCAGCCAUGCCGCGUGUGUGAAGAAGGCCUUCGGGUUGUAAAGCACUUCAGCGGGGAGGAAGGCGGUGAGGUUAAUAACCUCAUCGAUUGACGUUACCCGCAGAAGAAGCACCGGCUAACUCCGUGCCAGCAGCCGCGGUAAUACGGAGGGUGCAAGCGUUAAUCGGAAUUACUGGGCGUAAAGCGCACGCAGGCGGUCUGUCAAGUCGGAUGUGAAAUCCCCGGGCUCAACCUGGGAACUGCAUUCGAAACUGGCAGGCUAGAGUCUUGUAGAGGGGGGUAGAAUUCCAGGUGUAGCGGUGAAAUGCGUAGAGAUCUGGAGGAAUACCGGUGGCGAAGGCGGCCCCCUGGACAAAGACUGACGCUCAGGUGCGAAAGCGUGGGGAGCAAACAGGAUUAGAUACCCUGGUAGUCCACGCCGUAAACGAUGUCGAUUUGGAGGUUGUGCCCUUGAGGCGUGGCUUCCGGAGCUAACGCGUUAAAUCGACCGCCUGGGGAGUACGGCCGCAAGGUUAAAACUCAAAUGAAUUGACGGGGGCCCGCACAAGCGGUGGAGCAUGUGGUUUAAUUACGAUGCAACGCGAAGAACCUUACCUGGUCUUGACAUCCACAGAACUUUCCAGAGAUGGAUUGGUGCCUUCGGGAACUGUGAGACAGGUGCUGCAUGGCUGUCGUCAGCUCGUGUUGUGAAAUGUUGGGUUAAGUCCCGCAACGAGCGCAACCCUUAUCCUUUGUUGCCAGCGGUUCGGCCGGGAACUCAAAGGAGACUGCCAGUGAUAAACUGGAGGAAGGUGGGGAUGACGUCAAGUCAUCAUGGCCCUUACGACCAGGGCUACACACGUGCUACAAUGGCAUAUACAAAGAGAAGCGACCUCGCGAGAGCAAGCGGACCUCAUAAAGUAUGUCGUAGUCCGGAUUGGAGUCUGCAACUCGACUCCAUGAAGUCGGAAUCGCUAGUAAUCGUAGAUCAGAAUGCUACGGUGAAUACGUUCCCGGGCCUUGUACACACCGCCCGUCACACCAUGGGAGUGGGUUGCAAAAGAAGUAGGUAGCUUAACCUUCGGGAGGGCGCUUACCACUUUGUGAUUCAUGACUGGGGUGAAGUCGUAACAGGUUAACCGUA
rnacentral:rRNA from 1 species